rnacentral:misc_RNA from 1 species
AUCUAUUCGUCACCCAACCUCUUCUCCCCCAAAAGGAGCUCGGGUCCUGGGUACGGAAGUUGACCUCCCGUGCUCUUGAAGCGCGGCUGGUCUAAAAUCGAGCAUCGGACUGAUGAUCUCCGAGGCACGCGGUGGUUGUUAAUUCUUACCUCGUGAUGUUGCCACGGAGCCUCUUCCAUACGGAGCUCCACGACCCUAGAUUCAUAACGAU